GCUGUUUCUGUCUCCCCCUCCCCCCCAUCAACCUUGUGACGAGGAGACUCUGGCGCCCUCCGCCUCUUUAUUGUGGAGCGGCUCAUUUGCUCUCUUCUUCCUCUUUGGCACCUCUUCAAACCGAAGCCAACUGGCGGCCAAAAAGGCAGAGCAAGGAGAGGAGCAGACAGACGGCAGCGUCGGCGGCGACUCCACCAACUUGUUUAUCCUUUUAUAGCCCCGGCUCCGAGGGAAAAGCACGGAGAGCAGAAAGGCCCGCCUCGUUUAAUUGCUAGAACCAAGGUUGCUUUCAGAGCUGUUUUAGCUGAAAAGGGAUGAAUUAAACAAUCCCAUGCCUGAAUAAAGGAGAAAAGGCCCCGGUUUCCUAUGGUAUACCCCUGUGUCUGUUGAGGAUGAAGUGAAUCAACAACACCAAUGAGGCUUGCGGGAGAAUAUUUUAUAUCACAAGUGAAGUCCUCAAAGAGCCUUUUCCACCAAGAGUUCCAAGAGCCAGGAGAUACUGCUCCCAUCUUUCUGAAGAACCCUACAAGAUUUCAAGCACAGUGGCAUCGCCUGUCUGGAUAAUCUGCAAACCGAUCUUAACCAUAUCUACUCCAAAGUAAGUUCUACUGAAUUCAGUGGUGCUUACUCCCAGGUUAGGAUUGAAUCCUUAGUUUUGUUCAGGGCAGUGAGACAAGUCAUACCUUUCCUUUUGGUUUCCUUCAUCUGAUGUUACUAAUAAAUAUCCCUUUAACUAGUAGCAGAUUGAGGAGGACAUUUGUCUCUUAUUUUAAGAUGUUUACCAAAUUUCUGCAUGCAUGCUUAGUAGCAGCAGCAGCAGCGCAUGAAAUUCUGACAAGCAGGAGCAAGUCUUAACAUAAUGUUAGAGCUCUAAUCUCACCAGUAGCCUGAAGGUUUCUUUGUACUGAGAAAGAGCCAAUAACCUGUCUUUCAAGAGGUUGGACUUAAGCACUUGUACUGCUGCCUCACAAAAGGGGGAAAAGCUGUUGCUGCUUAUUCUUAAUUUCCAGUAUGACUAGCAGGUAAUAAGGAUGGGGAUACCGUAGGAGUCUUCAUAAUCCACAAACACACACAUUUGAUUACAUUAGCAAAAUGAGAAGCAAGGACACCCAGCAUGGAAUAUUGAGGGCAGGCCACUGAGAGAGAGGCAAAGGAAUAAUGUUGACUGUAGGAAGUCAAAUCUACAAAUAUUAAUACUAGGUUUUCCUAAGGGAAAAAAAACCAAUUCCCAGCUGGUUCAAGCACUGUAAAACUGUACAGGCUAACCAAGUAAAAACCUUAAAAGGAUUAGAUUUGAUAACAAGGCUGUUAGUUAAACCCUGUAGUAAUCACCUGAAAUAGCCCCAGUUGAGCCAGGAUGAGAAAGUUGCACCAACAUAUCUCCUGCUGAGCUGUGGUUGGGGGCUUCCUCAGGGUGAGAACAUGCAAGGUGACAGGGGAGCAGGUGGACAGGAUAGCAGCAAAGUAGUGUAGAGUUCCUCCACUUGCAAUGGGAAAUUUUCUUGCUUUGUCUGAGAAGUUACAAAACACAGCUCUUUAAAAUUCUAUGUGUCCAUAGUAAGUGGCAUUUCAGUUCUAUAGCAGUUUCUUGACAUAUUUAGAUCACAGGCUUCUGCUAAAAGUAGGAGGCAAUUCUCUUGGACAUAUUCUUAUCUACUUGAAGAGUGGGAACAGCCAGUUCUCCACUGUUGCUCAUUUCCAGUCUACUUUAGGUAUAUUAUCUAUGGAGCCUUUUCAAGUCAGACUUGAGGGCCUGAGACAGCAGAGGUAAAAAGGGUGGGUAAAGAAAAAUCCAGGUUUUUAUCCUCUCAACCCCACCAGUUAGAUUGCAGCAUAUCUGUUAAUCAGAAACGUAUUUAUGUGUCUUCAUUUUGUAAGAAAUACAUCCUUCAAAUAUUUCUACUGUGGAAAUUGUGCAGAGCAAUUUAGGGCAAAGAUCUUUGCCUUGGCUUGGACCUUGAUGCCAUGGUAGAGGCAAAGCCCAACUUCAUCUCAACUGUCUCUCCACUCCUAAGAGGUCCCUGAUGUAAAAGCCCUCUCACUAUUUAGAGCAGUUUCGUUGGACAAGUCUGUAUAGAUGCAGUGACGACAAUGAAGUAUAUAUAUUUUAAUGUAACCUGAAACCUGAAUCUAGAAGAAUUUCAUGUGAACAGGUUUGUAAUGUAUACAAAAGAUGUUUAAGGGCUUUCAGAUAUUAUCUAUAUUGUUACUGUUCCUCUUAAGGAAAGUAUAACAAUGACAGAAUGUAUUUCAAGGAAGCUGAGGGAAAACGUAAUGGGAAUGCAUUGUGGAGUCAUAGAUUGGCGUUGCAGUUCUCCUUUAUGUGUAAUGAUUUCUAAGUGAAAAGUUAGAUUAAAGGCAAGGUGAAGAGAAAUGUUUAGUUUUUUUAUAAAUCUGUGUUCUGUGUAGCUGCUUAUAAUAUACUGCAACUUGACAACAUCGUUUGAGGCAAUUCUUCUACUGAAUCAGUGAAGAUUCAGAAAGGAAGAGCAAGUUUCAAGUUGACAGAUGCCAUAGGGGUAGAAUGUUAGUCUGUUACACCGAAGAGAUACAAAAAGAGUCCAGUGGUGCCUUCAAGACUAACAGGUUUAUUGUGUUAUAAGUGGGCUCUAGUCAGUGAAAGCUUGUGCCACAACAAAUCUCGUAGGGCUAAAUGGAAUUUGAUGUUAAUUGUGUAUGUGUAAGCAACUAUUGUGCUCAAUUUGAAAAAGAAGAGCAAGAUUAAGGCCUUCUCUCAUGCUCCUCACAAAAAUUGUCCCCUCAAACUGCUAGUGCAUCAUGUACCAUGUUAGACUUGUAGAAGUAAGUUGGCCCAUAACCUAUUAGACUUGGGCCCACCAUUUGUUGUUCAUACUACAUCACACUUUGACCAGUGUGAUCAGCAGAGUAUUGAGUCUGGACUAAGGAUUCUGAGCUCCUGUGUUCUGAUUCUAUACAUGAUGUCCAAACACAGAACAUUUCAGGAUUUGUGCCUCUGCCAUUGGCCCUUGAACUCCGAGUCGUGAUUCGCAGCUUGGAAGUUUAGGCAUUGGGAGUGGCCCAGGCUUUCAGGAAUGUAUAUAAGCAGUUGCUUUGCCCCUGUUUCCCAAUUAUGUAGUUCAAUAAAGGUUCUUGCUGUUAUUGCUGUGUCUUGCCUCAUGGGAACACCUAGACUUCACUUUCCAUCUUUUACAGCAGGAGAAAUGUAACAUGUCAUUUUAUUUGAAAGACAAACAUCAGAGAGUGUAAGUCAAUUAGCAAUCCAGGUGUUGAUAGCAUGUCUAUGAUAGGGUUUCUAAAACAGCAGUUGUUUGUCUUCACCUCUAUGAAAUGUUGCUAAACAUUUUGCUUUAAGGGAAAAGACAUUUAAUCGAAGUUAUUUGUAAUGUAGCUGGGAAAUUAAAGAGAGAAGGUGAUAAAAAAUAGAAAAUACACUCUACCUUAUUGUUUUAUUAGGAUAUAAAAAGGGCAAAGUGCUGAUAUUAAAGUGUAGUUUUCUUUAUGGAAAAUCCCCUGCUUGUGUGAUAGUAGAUCUGGUAAACUUUUAGGAGCAAUUAUUAUUUCCAUAAACCAUAGUAAUAACAAGUCUUUCUAUUAAAAUGUAAUAAGCUUUAUGAUGCUAUGUGAUUGCAUGCUAACUUCCUUUUUCCUUAGCAUCUGUUUAGUAAAAGAACAUCACUUUCGGUUUAGAAUCUGAUUUUUAUAAAUUUCUCAGUGUGUCUCAUUUAUAACUACCGGUAACUAACUAUGGCUAUGCUUUCUCCCCACUGCCUCCUGUUUCAUGUCCAAGUAAAUGUCUAGGUUGUACAUCACAUUCAUUUCGUCAUAAUCAGAUGCCUUUUGUAUUCUUGCUAUAUUAGCCUUGGUGUACUGUAUCUCCUUGUGCAAGACUGUACUCUCGCUCACCUUCUUAGUUCACUCUAGGCAUCUGAUAAAGUCAGCUGUUGCUUAUGAAAUCUCACUCCAGGUAAACCAGUUAUGUCUCCCGCUUGCCACAGCAGUUUUAUAUGAGCUUCUACAGUUUAGCUAACUCAGUAUGACAGAUAACUCAGUCCAGUCACAUUAUAUCUAGCUGCUGGGAUUUAGUUCAGAUUUACUAGUCUCUAGGGGUGUGUGUGUGUGUGUGUGUGUGUGUGUGUGUGUGUGUAGAGGUGUGUGGCUUCUAAGGUUAGAGUGGAGUUUGGAUGAAGCGGAGGUACACCUUUGACUUUUGGCCUACACCCUAAUUAGACUCUUGCUUGGAAGUCCCAUACAUACAUACUGAAGGGUUUGGAACCAGUUUAUUUAAGAGAUUGUCAUACCUCAUCUGUGCCUAUUUGAUCCUUCCAAUCUGUGGAACAAGCGCCACACAAUAACCAUUCUGCAUUUGUAAGGAUUCAUGUCUUUAGUGUGACAGCAGCUGUACUUUGGAGCUCCCUGCUUAUUGACAUUAAGCACUACCACUGCAUUCCUUUAGAUAUCUGCUGAAAACUUCUGUUUAAGGGCUUUGAACAUACAUAAAAAAGGCAGCAUUACUUCCUUUUGGUGAAUUUAGCUUCUCAAAAUCAUUACUGUCAAAGUGAAAAGCAGACCUUUGUCUCAGCACUAUUUUCAUCUUUGUAAAACUUGGACAUUUUCCCUAGCAUUUCUCUCCAUCCAUCAGUUGCCUUGUUUGUUAACUGACAUCCUCAUUAGACUUGUUUAAAUUCUCAUUGGUUUCUUCAAUAUUUCAGCUUCACUUCCCCUAACAGAACUUAAUGAGGCUAGCUAGUGUUUGUUGUGGGUCUCUGUUAAGCUUCAUUACAGCUUGGCAAUAGCAGCUGGUGAAAUGUGCCUUGUGCAACCCAUUUCUUCCAGGCUUAUCAAACAGAAUGGCCUGCAAAAAGGUGGACUUCAUUUGUUUGAUUUACUUUCAUUGAUUCUUGUAUGUGGCAACUGACACCAUAUUGUGCAUUAAAAAACUUCCUGAGCCCUGUCUUUGUGAGUGAGUUAUGCUGGAAUGUGCAGCUUAUGGCAGUAUGGCAUGGAUGCACUGAGAAUUGGCUAGAGAUCCAGUGGAUUGUAACUCUUGUGUUUAGAUUGCUCCCAUAGUUGAGACAUGACCUUCAGAUGAUCUGAUAUUGACUGAUGGAAUAGAAUCAAAGAGUUGUAAGGGACCCCAAGGGUCAUCUAGUUCAACCCACAGCAAUGCAGGAAUAAUACUAGGAGUGUCAGGAGUUCCUAGUGUAAUGAUACUAGGGUACUAGGAGUUCCUUUGCUUACCAUAGUUGAUGAUGGUUUCUGGCUGUGUUGGCACAAAACAAUUGUUUGUAGCAAGUUUGUGACAGACCUAAGCAGGUGGUUAAGCCCUUCAGACUCAACUUGGCCCCUUCUUUAUAUUUUCUAUCAUAG